CACGUAGGGCGCAAGCGUUGUCCGGAAUUAUUGGGCGUAAAGAGCUCGUAGGUGGUUUGUUACGUCUGCUGUGAAAACCUAGGGCUUAACCCUGGGCUUGCAGUGGAUACGGGCAGACUAGAGGUAGGUAGGGGAGAAUGGAAUUCCCGGUGUAGCGGUGAAAUGCGCAGAUAUCGGGAGGAACACCUAUGGCGAAGGCGGGUCUCUGGGCAACAACUGACGCUGAGGAGCGAAAGCGUGGGGAGCGAACAGG
rnacentral:rRNA from 1 species